rnacentral:rRNA from 1 species
UACGUAGGGGGCAAGCGUUGUCCGGAUUUAUUGGGCGUAAAGAGCGUGUAGGCGGCCAGGUAGGUCGGUUGUGAAAACUGGAGGCUUAACCUCCAGACGUCGACCGAAACCAUCUGGCUAGAGUCCGGAAGAGGAGAGUGGAAUUCCUGGUGUAGCGGUGGAAUGCGUAGAGAUCCGGAAGAACACCGGUGGCGAAGGCGGCUCGCUGGGCAGUGGCUGACGCUGAUGCGCGACAGCGUGGGGAGCAAACAGG